rnacentral:misc_RNA from 1 species
GAUGAAGAACGUAGCGAAAUGCGAUACGUAGUGUGAAUUGCAGAAUUCAGUGAAUCAUCGAAUCUUUGAACGCACAUUGCGCCCUUUGGUAUUCCAAAGGGCAUGCCUGUUCGAGCGUCAUUUGUACCCUCAAGCUUUGCUUGGUGUUGGGCGUCUUGUCUCCAGUCCGCUGGAGACUCGCCUUAAAGUCAUUGGCAGCCGGCCUACUGGUUUCGGAGCGCAGCACAAGCCGCACUCUUUUCCAGCCAAGGUCAGUGUCCAACAAGCCUUUUUUCAACUUUUGACCUCGGAUCAGGUAGGGAUACCCGCUGAACUUAAGCAUAUCAAUAAGCGGAGGA